CCCUUCCGGGAGCUGGGGUGGGGGACGGGAAGGGGAAAGUGGGGGGGAGGGCCACGGCUGCGGCAGAAGCGGGUUGUUCCAGGCGCAGAAUAGACUCCUGUUGCCAUGGAGAUGGGAGCGCGGGCCUGGGGAGGGAGGCAGGCUUCUGCAUAGCUCACCUGGCUUUACGGAUGUCGGGCUUCCGGAUCUCGGGACAGACGGGCUUAUCCUCCGCGCCCAGUCCUGCCCCCGACGGCCCCCUGCCUGCCCCUCCCUGUCGCCAAGUAUCUCGGUAUAGCCGCCACGCGUCUCUCGUCUCUGAGCAUCUCUAAAUCUCUGAGGACCCCCCCACCAGUUCCCAAUGGCCCCUUCCUCCCCCGCGCCCCCUCCCGUAAUCAAGAAUGGUUUCGUCCAUA